rnacentral:tRNA from 1 species
UGUUCUGUGGCUUAGUUGGUUAAAGCGCCGGUCUAGCGACUCCGUAUUCGCGUGGGUUCGAAUCCCACCAGAACGC